AUACGUAGGGUGCAAGCGUUAAUCGGAAUUACUGGGCGUAAAGCGUGCGCAGGCGGUUUUUUAAGACAGAGGUGAAAUCCCCGGGCUCAACCUGGGAACUGCCUUUGUGACUGCAAGGCUAGAGUACGGCAGAGGGGGAUGGAAUUCCGCGUGUAGCAGUGAAAUGCGUAGAUAUGCGGAGGAACACCGAUGGCGAAGGCAAUCCCCUGGGCCUGUACUGACGCUCAUGCACGAAAGCGUGGGGAGCAAACAGGAUUAGAUACCCUGGUAGUCCACGCCCUAAACGAUGUCAACUGGUUGUUGGGUCUUCAUUGACUCAGUAACGAAGCUAACGCGUGAAGUUGACCACCUGGGGAGUACGGCCGCAAGGUUGAAACUCAAAUGAAUUGACGGGG
rnacentral:rRNA from 1 species